CUUGGUCAUUUAGAGACAGCUUGGUCAUUUAGAGGAAGUAAAAGUCGUAACAAGGUCUCCGUAGGUGAACCUGCGGAGGGAUCAUUACACAAAUAUGAAGGCGGGCUGGAACCUCUCGGGGUUACAGCCUUGCUGAAUUAUUCACCCUUGUCUUUUGCGUACUUCUUGUUUCCUUGGUGGGUUCGCCCACCACUAGGACAAACAUAAACCUUUUGUAAUUGCAAUCAGCGUCAGUAACAAAUUAAUAAUUACAACUUUCAACAACGGAUCUCUUGGUUCUG
rnacentral:misc_RNA from 1 species